rnacentral:rRNA from 1 species
UCGAAACCUGCCCAGCAGAACGACCCGCGAACGUGUUCAUGCAUUGCGUGGGAAGGGGUUGCUGGUUCUCCGGUCCCUUUCCCAGCGCCGGGGGUCCAUCCCUCCGGGGUGCUCCCUGGCACAGUCACGAACCCCGGCGCGUAUGCGCCAAGGAAUAUAAACACGAGCGUGCCCAUCCUUGCCCGGGCCUCCGGUGCAGGGAUGUGGCACCCGAUCCAAGUCGUAGAAGACGACUCUCGGCAACGGAUAUCUCGGCUCUCGCAUCGAUGAAGAACGUAGCGAAAUGCGAUACUUGGUGUGAAUUGCAGAAUCCCGCGAACCAUCGAGUUUUUGAACGCAAGUUGCGCCCGAAGCCUUCCGGCCAGGGCACGUCUGCCUGGGCGUCACCCAUAGCGUCUCCCCCAACCCACCAAGCGUGGGAGGGAGAGGAGGACGGCCUCCCAUGCCCCACCGGGCAUGGAUGGCCUAAAUAAGGAGCCCCCGGACACGAGAUGCCGCGGCGACAGGUGGUCAACCAGGCGUUUGCCUAGGAGGCAUCGCGCCCGGCAUCCCGUAGCCUAUGUGGGGCUCGAAGGACCCUUACCGACCCUUGCGACCCCAGGUCAGGCGGGGUUACCCG